GAUGAAGAACGCAGCGAAAUGCGAUAAGUAAUGUGAAUUGCAGAAUUCAGUGAAUCAUCGAAUCUUUGAACGCACAUUGCGCCCCCUGGUAUUCCGGGGGGCAUGCCUGUCCGAGCGUCAUUACAACCCUCAAGCUCAGCUUGGUGUUGGGCCCCGCCGCCCCGGCGGGCCCUAAAGUCAGUGGCGGUGCCGUCCGGCUCCGAGCGUAGUAAUUCUUCCCGCUCUGGAGGUCCGGUCGUGUGCUCGCCAGCAACCCCCAAUUUUUUUCAGGUUGACCUCGGAUCAGGUAGGGAUACCCGCUGAACUUAAGCAUAUCAAUAAGCGGAGGA
rnacentral:misc_RNA from 1 species